CCUACGGGAGGCAGCAGUAGGGAAUCUUCCACAAUGGGCGAAAGCCUGAUGCAGCAACGCCGCGUGGGUGAAGAAGGUCUUCGGAUCGUAAAACCCUGUUGUUAGAGAAGAAAGUGCGUGAGAGUAACUGUUAACGUUUCGACGGCAUCUAACCAGAAAGCCACGGCUAACUACGUGCCAGCAGCCGCGGUAAUACGUAGGUGGCAAGAGUUAUCCGGAUUUAUUGGGCGUAAAGGGAGUGCAGGCGGUCUUGUAAGCCUGAUGUGAAAGCCUUCGGCUUAACCGGGGUACUGCAUUGGAAACUGGGUGGCUUGAGUGCAGAAGAGGAGAGCGGAACUCCAUGUGUAGCGGUGAAAUGCGUAGAUAUAUGGAAGAACACCAGUGGCGAAAGCGGCUCGCUGGACUGUAACUGACGCUGAGGUUCGAAAGCGUGGGUAGCAAACAGGAUUAGAUACCCCAGUAGUC
rnacentral:rRNA from 1 species